rnacentral:rRNA from 1 species
AUUGAACGCUGGCGGCAGGCCUAACACAUGCAAGUCGAGCGGAUGAGUGGAGCUUGCUCCAUGAUUCAGCGGCGGACGGGUGAGUAAUGCCUAGGAAUCUGCCUGGUAGUGGGGGACAACGUUUCGAAAGGAACGCUAAUACCGCAUACGUCCUACGGGAGAAAGCAGGGGACCUUCGGGCCUUGCGCUAUCAGAUGAGCCUAGGUCGGAUUAGCUAGUAGGUGAGGUAAUGGCUCACCUAGGCGACGAUCCGUAACUGGUCUGAGAGGAUGAUCAGUCACACUGGAACUGAGACACGGUCCGGACUCCUACGGGAGGCAGCAGUGGGGAAUAUUGGACAAUGGGCGAAAGCCUGAUCCAGCCAUGCCGCGUGUGUGAAGAAGGUCUUCGGAUUGUAAAGCACUUUAAGUUGGGAGGAAGGGCAGUAAGUUAAUACCUUGCUGUUUUGACGUUACCAACAGAAUAAGCACCGGCUAACUUCGUGCCAGCAGCCGCGGUAAUAC